AUGACGAAUUUCGCCCAUUUCGCUAAGGUCCGUCGCUUGCGCUUCCUCAUCUUCCUCAUCUUCCCCCUCUCUUGCAUUUGCAUUUGCUCCCCGUCGUUUGAGUUGCAUCGGGGUUUUUCCAUGGGGAGGUCGACUGACAGAUCCGAAGGUCUAGCCGAUCUCACCAGCGUCCUCCCGGAGGAUCUGCUUCUGGAGAUCCUCGAGCGUCUUGGCUCCGCCCGCGCCGCCGCGGGCACCAGCCUCCUCUCCCGCCGGUGGCGCGGUCUCUGGACCCGGCUCCCCAGCCUCACCCUCAGCUUCCACGACGUCCCGUUCGGCUCGAUCCAGACCGCGCGCCGCCGCGCCGCCGCUCGUCGACGCCCCGGUGUGUACAUCUACCACCUCAACAUACGCGUCGCCGACCAGGCCGGCACGAUCGGCGCCGGGAGGUUCUCCUCGCUGCUCUGGGACGCCGCGAGUCUCUCGCCGGUGGAGCUGCGCCUCACUCUCCCGCGGAACCUGCAAGUCUCCAGCAUGGAGGUGACACUGCCCACCUUCCACCGCGCCACCUCCAUGGAUCUGCGCGCGCGGGCCCUCCACUUAACCGUGUCCGCAAAGCCAUAUGCGGGCUAUGUGAACACCACCGGUCUGAUAGACAUGAGCAACAUUACGGUCCACUCCGCGUCGCUGGAGGAGCUCGUCGUGGAGCACGGCAACCGAUGGACCCGCCGUACCCAUGUCAGCGUCGACUCCCCUGUGCUUAAGCAAUUGACAGCGUCCUUCCAUGCCUGUGGCAACAUUGGGGUGUCCAUCUUGGCACCAAUGGUGGACAAGGUCUGGUGGCGGUGCUCGUAUGCCAAGCCGAUUUACGGGCUUGGUCUUUGGGGCCUCUCAGAGGUGGGCUUGAACGCCGAAGAGACACAUGGACAGACCGACUCCGGGAGAGACGCCUGUGUGCAGCUCCCUAGCGUCCAUGUCCUGUCCCUACACAUAUCUGCAGUCCAAGAUUCAGUUAGCUUUCCAAAUGCAGAUCUCACCUUUGCGGCAGAGAUCGAUAAACAUAUGGUUACCAACUUCUCUGGUCUGGACCUACAUCUCAGCACCAAGGGCCAUGUGUUUGGAGCUUUUGUACAUGUUCAGCCAAUAAGUUCGAGCCUAAGAACUGGAGAACAGAAACUAUCACCUUGGCUGAUCUUGAGAACAUGGAAAUUGAAGGCGUCGGCGGGGAAGAUCACGAUGACUGUGAGGCUGACCGAUGGUGUCACUCCAAGUGUCGAUUGGUGCACAAAAGUAACCAACAUCUUCAUGGCAUAUCCUUCCGUCGAAUGCAAUGCUGAUCUGGAUCGAGUCAUCACCGGAGCUCCCCCGCGCCACGCCGCCAAGCGUCGCCGCCGGCACCCCCAUGGUAGGAACUCGCGCCGCCGCCAGGGGAGAGAGAGAGAGAGACGCGCCAGGGAGAGGCCCCGCCGCCACCGGCACUGCCUGGGCUUUGCCCGGCCUCAGAGAGGGACGCGGGGGACGGGGCCAAAGCAGUGUGUUGACAUGAUUAUCUGCGGAUUAAGGGUGCUCAUUAACAAGAUCGUCCUCUCCCACGCCGACCAACUACUAUCUGCUUUCAGGAUCUUGCUUAAUGGCUUCAAUCUAUGCUACCUCCUGUUGUUUUGCCACUGUAGUGGAGCUACAGACUUGAAGUGGUGCAGUCUCUGA
rnacentral:rRNA from 1 species